AGAAAAGCUCAUGAUAAUCAUCAUCCACUGAGCUAUGACAGUUGCCACAUGUAGUAGCAACAAAAAAGUAAUACUGCUUGUUACGUGGCAUUGGAUUGGCUAGUUGUAUUCUGUAAAGUUCAGUGACAUCAUAAAGCCAAAGGCAACCCAUCACUGGUUAUAUUAUGGAGACUUCUGAUGGCAUACCAGGGCCAACCCUGCCAUUAACCAAAAUGAGAUUGGGCAGAAGAUGCAUAAAAGGAUGACAAAUGGCUGCCAGGAUUAAGAAGAGAUCCUUAUGAGAUUUUGAGAACAGUGUGCCAAAACUUUGUGUAUUAGAAAUGUCUUAUGGAGCAGACUCCGGAUCAGAAGGGAAGGAGGAAGGAGGCCAGACAUACCGAUGCAGUAAUUUCAUCCUUGGCUGGCAGAAACUUCAGAGGGAUGUCAACAAUGAGGCCCAAAGUCCAUGAAAGGCAAAAGGUGUGACAUAUCUCCGCAAAGCCUCCAUGUAUACAAGAUAAGAACAGAAUGACUCAUUCACAACACCACUCAGGGAAGAUAACACUGCUUUUCUAGCAAUUACAGUCUGAUUUAAUACCUUCGGUGAGAAAGGAACCCCAUAUUCCUAUUAAGUUUACACUGAUUAUUUGACAAUAUUUCCUUUUUAUAGUUUCUCUUAUUUCUUGAUCAAUCACUGGCACUGAAUACAGAUGUAAGGGGCUCUUUCUUUAUAUUUUUCAUAGGGCCUUGCCUUUCAAAGAGGUGGAUUGUGUUUUCAUGGGCCCAGCAAUACAGCCAGGCCCAUUGUAAAAUAGAUCCUCCUUACGUUGCCCUGUACAAGGCGUACAAAAGAAAGGCUGGGCAUCCAGGACUGACUUCACUCCUUUGUUUGGCCACAUUGGUUAAUAUUGUUUCUUUAACCUGCAAGCCAAGUAAAUAAAUUUAAGAAGACA